rnacentral:rRNA from 1 species
AUGAACGCUGGCGGCGUGCCUAAUACAUGCAAGUCGAGCGAACAGACGAGGAGCUUGCUCCUCUGACGUUAGCGGCGGACGGGUGAGUAACACGUGGAUAACCUACCUAUAAGACUGGGAUAACUUCGGGAAACCGGAGCUAAUACCGGAUAAUAUAUUGAACCGCAUGGUUCAAUAGUGAAAGAUGGUUUUGCUGUCACUUAUAGAUGGAUCCGCGCCGCAUUAGCUAGUUGGUAAGGUAACGGCUUACCAAGGCAACGAUGCGUAGCCGACCUGAGAGGGUGAUCGGCCACACUGGAACUGAGACACGGUCCAGACUCCUACGGGAGGCAGCAGUAGGGAAUCUUCCGCAAUGGGCGAAAGCCUGACGGAGCAACGCCGCGUGAGUGAUGAAGGUCUUCGGAUCGUAAAACUCUGUUAUUAGGGAAGAACAAAUGUGUAAGUAACUAUGCACGUCUUGACGGUACCUAAUCAGAAAGCCACGGCUAACUACGUG